AAACGCAAUCAAUAUUUCAGAGGUCGUAGCGGGCUCAAUUUUAAAGCUAGAGUGAAGAUACUGGUCUCGUAUGAAACUACAAUACCUAAGGAAUCCGUCGGUACCAACUAUGUCAUACUAGCAUUUCGCGAAAGAGGUGAAAUC